CCCCACAGCAGCUCCAAGAAGGAACCCAGAGACCGAGGCCUUCCCGCCGAUCAGACCGACAUCGUCAGCCACUCCCCCGCUCCCGGCAGCCGCCCGCAGCAGCAGAUCGACCCCGUUCUGCAGCCGUGGAGUAGUUUUUGGUUCCGGUUGAUUUUUGUCCCUCUGCGCUUGCCCCCGCUCCCCUCCCCCUGGCUCCGGCUCCAUCCCGGGCUCCGGAUCCUGCACCUGCUCUGCUGCUCUUGGAAAGGUCGUGGCCUGUGGCCCUGCGGGCAGUCGUGCCGAGAUGAACCCCAGCGCCCCCAGCUACCCCAGGGCCUCGCUCUACGUGGGCGAUCUCCACCCCGACGUGACCGAGGCGAUGCUCUACGAGAAGUUCAGCCCGGCCGGGCCCAUCCUCUCCAUCCGGGUCUGCAGGGACAUGAUCACCCGCCGCUCCUUGGGCUAUGAGUACGUGAACUUCCAGCAGCCGGCAGACGCGGAGCGUGCUUUGGACACCAUGAACUUUGAUGUUAUAAAAGGCAAGCCAUGUGGUCUCAGUGUGAUCCAUUACUUCGCAGAAGUGGAGUAGGCAACAUAUUCAUUAAAAAUCUGGACAAAUCCAUUGAUAAUAAAGCACUGUAUGAUACAUUUUCUGCUUUUGGCAACAUGCUUUCAUGUAAGGUGGUUUGUGAUGAAAAUGGUUCCAAGGGCUAUGGAUUUGUACAUUUUGAGACCCAGGAAGCCCCUGAAAGAGCUAUUGAAAAAAUGAAUGGGAUGCUUCUAAAUGAUCGCAAAAUAUUUGUUGGACGAUUUAAGUCUCGUAAAGAACGAGAAGCAGAACUUGGAGCUAGGGCAAAAGAAUUCACCAAUGUUUACAUCAAGAAUUUUGGAGAAGACAUGGAUGAUGAGCGCCUUAAGGAUCUCUUUGGCAAGUUUGGACCUGCCUUAAGUGUGAAAGUUAUGACUGAUGAAAGUGGAAAAUCCAAAGGAUUUGGAUUUGUGAGCUUUGAAAGGCAUGAAGAUGCACAGAAAGCUGUGGAUGAGAUGAAUGGAAAGGAGCUCAAUGGAAAACAAAUUUGUGUUGGUCGAGCUCAGAAAAAAGUGGACCGUCAGACGGAACUUAAGCGCAAAUUUGAACAGAUGAAGCAAGACAGGAUCACCAGAUACCAGGGUGUUAACCUUUAUGUGAAAAAUCUUGAUGAUGGUAUUGAUGAUGAACGUCUCCGGAAAGAGUUUUCUCCAUUUGGUACAAUCACUAGUGCAAAGGUUAUGAUGGAGGGUGGUCGAAGCAAAGGAUUUGGUUUUGUAUGUUUCUCCUCCCCAGAAGAAGCCACUAAAGCAGUUACAGAAAUGAAUGGUAGAAUUGUGGCCACCAAGCCACUAUAUGUAGCUUUAGCUCAGCGCAAAGAAGAGCGCCAGGCUCACCUCCCUAACCAGUACAUGCAGAGGAUGGCAAGCAUCUGAGCCGUGCCCAACCCUGUAAUCAACCCCUACCAGCCAGCACCUCCGUCGGGUUACUUCAUGGCAGCUAUCCCCCAGACUCAGAACCGUGCUGCAUACUACCCUCCUAGCCAAAUUGCUCAACUAAGACCAAGUCCUCGCUGGACUGCUCAGGGUGCCAGACCUCAUCCAUUCCAGAACAUGCCCGGUGCUAUCCACCCAGCCUCGCCUCAACCGCCAUUUAGCACUAUGAGACCAGCUUCCUCAC